GACGAACGCUGGCGGCGUGCUUAACACAUGCAAGUCGAACGGAAACGCCCUGGUUUUGUGCGAUGCUCGAGUGGCGCAGGGGUGAGGAACACGUAAGUAACCUGCCCUUGACUUUGGGAUAACGUCAGGAAACUGGAGCUAAUACCGGAUAGGAGCUCCUUCUGUUUGGUGGGGGUUGGAAAGUUUCGGGGGUUGGGGAUGGACUCGCGGCUUAUCAGCUUGUUGGUGGGGUAGUGGAUUACCAAGGCUUUGACGGGUAGCCGGCCUGAGAGGGUGACCGGCACAAGUGGCAGUGAGAUACGGCCGAGAGCACUAAGGGAGGCAGGAGUAGGGAAUAUAGCACGAUGGAGGGAAGUCUGAUGCAGCAUCGCGGCGUGCGGGAUGACGGACUGCGGGUAGUAAACGGUAUUGGGGUGUGCGGAAGGGUGAGUGAAGGUAAUGGGUAAAGAAGCACCGGCUAACUACGUG
rnacentral:rRNA from 1 species